rnacentral:rRNA from 1 species
UUAGGAAUCUUCGGCAAUGGGCGAAAGCCUGACCGAGCGACGCCGCGUGAAGGAUGAAGGCCCUCGGGUCGUAAACUUCUAAAAGAGGGACGAUAGUGACGGUACCUCUUGAAAAGCACCGGCUAACUCCGUGCCAGCAGCCGCGGUAAUACGGAGGGUGCUAGCGUUAUCCGGAAUCACUGGGCGUAAAGGGCGCGUAGGCGGUCUGUUAAGUCCGAUGUUAAAGACUGGGGCUCAACCCCAGCAUUGCGUUGGAUACUGGCAGGCUUGACGGUUGGAGAGGCGAGUGGAAUUACCAGUGUAGCGGUGAAAUGCGUAGAUACUGGUAGGAACACCCAUUGCGAAGGCAGCUCGCUGGACAACACGUGACGCUGAGGCGCGAAAGUGUGGGGAGCAAACCGG